GCGGCUAUGGUGUAACGGCAGCACUAGAGGUUGUGGACCUCCCAGUUCCGGUUCGAAACCGGAUAGCCGCCCA
rnacentral:tRNA from 1 species